rnacentral:lncRNA from 1 species
GCAGUGUUUUGCCCUCACCCCCUCCUACCCGUGCUUUUAAAGCUGGGCUGUUUACUUUUUAAAUGGACUUUUUUGUUCCCUUAGCUUCUGAAAGAAUGUUGCAUACAAAGAAUGUGAUAAAUGCAGGAUCUGUAAAGUUCUGUCAGUUAUGCCUGGUAAAUGCACUGGAAAACAGGAAUUCCUCAGGCUCUUUGUAGUCACUGCUGCACGUAAUGGGUGAAUAUAGGGAGGAGUUGGGAGUUCAGGCCAAGUGCAGACUGUUCUGCCUUGCCUGUGGCCUGUUUGUUUGUACUGCAGCACUUUACAAAUGCAUUUUGUGUCCUUUGUGUGAGGACUCGGCUCUUCCACGUGGAUGCGUCUGGGUGAGGGACAAACGCUCUCGCUGGGUUUUGCUGUGCUGCUGCCAUCCCAUCCGUGUUCUCCAGAAUAAUGCUCCCAAGUGACCAACCCCCAGUGACCACCUCCUGCUCUCCUCCUCCUCGCCCAUGUACAUUCAGGUGGGGGUUUGUUACAGAGACUUACAAACUCGUUCUGAAGCCACCAGUUACAGCGUUUCCCUGUGGAGUGGGGGCUCAUUGGAGGCGCUGGUGUGUCGGAGCUCCACGACAGCACUGCUGGUGCUCUUCCUGCUCGAUGCUUUGUGUCCUUCCCCAGUGAUGAACUCCCAGAUCAUACCCCCUGUCACGCAGCUUUAUUCUCGUUCUUCCAUCUCCCUCUGAGAGUCUUUCCUCUUCCUCCUGAAUAUAUCAGCUACAAUAUCGCCAGCUUUCAGCUGCCUGUGGUGGUUUUUGGACCCUGUGAAGGUGAGUGGGUGUCAUUUUGAGCAGUUGUGCCAUGUAUUUGUACCUAAUCUGAAUGGCAGGUGUGGGUCUGUGGUUCUCCUCGCUCAGGCUUGGCUUUGCACAGGGCAGUGGGAUGCAUCUGCCCGUGUUGCUUUUCUCUCUUCCCUAAAAAUGUCGUUUCUUCCUUUUCUAGCUUCCGUUUGGAAUGUAAACCUUGUGAAAUAAACCCUAAGUUUACAUUUCAGAUCCCAGCCUGUAAGUUGGUUAUGCUUUCAUGCUGCUUAGUGUUACUUAUUUUUCUGUAUGAGGUUUUAAGAUGUGCAGCAGCUCAGGAUGCGCCACUCUCAGCUGUGUUGUUUCAUACCAAUUCCUCACUCUUUGAUUUACUGGGAAUGUCACAACCACUCCACUGAUGACAUUAGUUGGGUUCAGUUUAAUGCUGCUGCUGACAUUGAGACUUUUGAUAUCAAAUGGGUUUUUACAAAAGCUUUGGAUACUCGUUUUUACUGUCUGACAAACAUUGGUGGUGGUGUGCUUUGUGUAUGUUCCACUAGUGUUCUCCUGGUGUUUGUAUGGUUUCUACAGGUAAAUAUUCUCUGUGUUCUGCUGUCAUUUUCUAUUACGGUUUAUACAAGAGAGCCUGCACGCUUUGUACUGCACUGCAGGCAAGGGCUGCAUUAAACCCACUUUUGGCCAAUUUAU